CUUUGCUACAUGCAGAGUGAAACUGAGCAAGUUACUUUACAUCUCUGCACCAAUGUUUCCUCAUCUGGAAAAUGAGAGGAUUCAAAUAGAUGACCUCAAAGGUGCUAUCCAACUAGAAAUCUCAUGAUUCUAUGACAGUGGAUAUGAGGAAUUUUAAAUGUACAAUUCAUAUGUAUACAUAUGCUCAUAAUAUAUAUAUCUACAAUAUAUAUUCAUAGGAAAUUGAAAUCAAAAUGCAUAGGAAAUUAGAAAUCAAUGACAUUGAAAUGCACUUAUCAGAAUAUUAAGACAAAAACAUUUACAGAAAUCAGAUGAAUUAAUCCAACUCCCUCAAUUUUUACAGAUGAGGAAACUGAAGCCCAGGAAGAUUGUCUUGUCCAAUGUGACCUGCAUAGUUAGCAUCAGACUUGUGAUUUGAAUCAGGUUCUCUGACUCCAAGGCCAGUGCUCUUUCCACUGUAGCUACAGAUGGUCCAUGGCCUGUGAUUAAUGCAGACUCUUUCAUAGGACUUUCUCUGUGGUAUUGGGUCCCAUGCCAACAAAUUGCUUUGUGAAUACCAAUAGAAUUCCUUAAAUACCUCCUCGGGAGGUAAAAGCCAAGAAGUGUACAAUUGAUCGGCUGCAUCUAGGUUCACCGGUGUCCAAGUCCUAAGUCAUGAGUCCCAAUUCACAUACCCUGCAUUUGUUUCCACAACCAUUAACUAACUCUACUUCCAGCUGAAUGCCAGUCCAGGGGAAUCCUUUCCAGGGAAACCUGGUUUCUCCUCCUUUAUGGUACACCCUCCUUAUGCUAUACACUCUUUAUCGCUUCCAUGGUGAUCAGAACUGACUAGUGCCCAAACUAGAGCCCACGAUUUCCUUAAGCUCAUCAGUCCUGGAAAAUGACUAUGGCUUAGGACAGCCGCAACUAUGAAAGCCUGCUCUCAGCUAUCCUGUUAAAAAGGAAUGCUUUACACUGCUGUUACUGCUAAGAAAUAUUAUCCCUUCCUAGGGUAAUUGCGGUAUUUGUAUUUUCUCAAGGAAUGAGACCCUGACUUACAGGCACAGGUUUUGAAUGAAAAAACUUUAGACUUUAGAGAUGAGUUAGUGGAGGAUAUAUUGGGAGGGGAGAGAGAACUGUUUCCUUAACCAAGGGCUAGG
rnacentral:lncRNA from 1 species